GGGGAAUAUUGCACAAUGGGCGGAAGCCUGACGCAGCGACGCCGCGUGAGGGAUGACGGCCUUCGGGUUGUAAACCUCUUUCAGCAGGGACGAAGCGUGAGUGACGGUACCUGCAGAAGAAGCGCCGGCCAACUACGUGCCAGCAGCCGCGGUAAGACGUAGGGCGCGAGCGUUGUCCGGAUUUAUUGGGCGUAAAGAGCUCGUAGGCGGCUUGUCGCGUCGUCCGUGAAAACCUGCAGCUCAACUGCAGGCUUGCGGUCGAUACGGGCAGGCUAGAGUUCGGUAGGGGAGACUGGAAUUCCUGGUGUAGCGGUGAAAUGCGCAGAUAUCAGGAGGAACACCGGUGGCGAAGGCGGGUCUCUGGGCCGAUACUGACGCUGAGGAGCGAAAGCGUGGGGAGCGAAC
rnacentral:rRNA from 1 species